rnacentral:rRNA from 1 species
UACGGAGGGUGCGAGCGUUGUUCGGAAUCAUUGGGCGUAAAGGGUGCGUAGGUGGCGCCGUAAGUCAGGUGUGAAAUUUCGGAGCUUAACUCCGAAACUGCAUUUGAUACUGCGGUGCUUGAGGACUGGAGAGGAGACUGGAAUUCACGGUGUAGCAGUGAAAUGCGUAGAUAUCGUGAGGAAGACCAGUGGCGAAGGCGGGUCUCUGGACAGUUCCUGACACUGAGGCACGAAGGCUAGGGGAGCAAACGGG